GUGGCCUCUAGGCUCUACAAAGCCCUUCAUUUUGGCAGAAAAUACAAUGUCGACCAGCCGCAAAUUAGAGUCAUGGCAUGAGGAAGGGCAAGAACUGAGCUCCUCACAAGGGAGUCAAGAGAGGUGGCAGCAAAAGAAAAUACCAGAAGGGCAGCCUGAAGAGUAGAAAACAGUACAAUGACGCCACUCGCAAUUCCUGCUCCCACUUGUGACUCCACCAGUGGGCUCUGCCCUGGUGGACUUCAAAUGACACCAGGCAGCAACAGAGAACAGAAGGGGGACUGCCAAGGAGACCUGAAGUUACAUCAAAACCAGAGAAGAGCCUAUCAUGGGGAUAAAAUGUCAGUCAUGAUGAAAUGAGGAAUGUAUAUGUUGGCUCUUUCUCCCCAACAUUUCAAUAAACAUUUGAAAACUGAA